rnacentral:lncRNA from 1 species
AUGGAUAUGUCAUAAGUUGUUUUCAUAAGCUCAUAUUUUUUAUCAGACUUCAUGUCAAUGGAAUCUUCCCUGCAUCAUUCUUCUGCCUGCAGUAAUAUGUUCAGUUUUAUUUCACUUAUUAAUUAAGAUAUUAAUUUUAAACACAUAGGGUUAAUUACUUAAUUAUAACAAAUUAGGAAUUCUAUGAUGGGGACAAAAAUGCUUACUUUUAUUGCUUCAAGAAGUUUUUGGUCGCCAUGAAAGUACUCGAGAAUCCAAGUAUGAACACUAUGAGGCAACAAAAAGAUAACCAGGAGCACCCUUAACUAAAACAAAAACCACACACACACACAUAAACCAACUAACCAAAGAAAAUCAAGGAGCAGCACUCACUCCACACCAGACCAGUACCAUGACAGGCACACCAAACACACAAAGCCAAGCAAUGUCUACCACAAGCCAACAUAUCC